rnacentral:piRNA from 1 species
UCCAUCCUGAGACUGUAGAUCUCAGU